CCCAGGAUGGGGCUCCCCAGGGCGCUGGGCUCUCUUUGCUCACCUGGGGGCUCCGUGCAAUGAGCCAGGUGGGUUCUCAGCACCAUCAGUGUCACUAGCAGACCCCCAGCCC